GCGCCGCGAGGGCCCUCGGGCCGCGCGCCAGUCCGGCCGCGUGUCCGUCCGUCUGUCUGUCUGUCUGUCCGGGAGGAGCCUCCCCACCUUCCCACUCCCUGGGGCAAAGGGCUCCAAGGCUCGUGCCCUACGGGGCUCUUCUGGGCCUUGCUGUCCAGUCCCUCCGGGCCUUGGGGCUUUCCUGCCCCGGGCCGCGCCGCAGCGCUGCUGUCUCAGGGGAGCUGCGUGGCUGCUGCGCCCUGAGGGGCCCGUGUCCCACACCGGCCGCAGGUUUGAGUCGUGGUUGGACCAGAGCUCCCAAGCUUGCCUUGCUCGGAUCAUGAGGAAUAGCAGAAGACACUGCUGUAGUUGUGGCUAAAAGGCUUUACAGAUCUUACCUGGCUGCAUGAUACUGUACCAAAAGCAUAAAAGGUAACUUUUUUUAAAAUACCUAAUAUCUGAAUCAGACUCUAGGAUGCCAACAAAGCUGUUUCACAAGGGAGGAUGCUCCUUUCUUUUGUGCUGCUUGAAGUUCCUCACCCUGCUGUGCCGCGUAAUGAAAUCGUGCAGACUGUGAAUG